CAACAAAUGCCAGCAGUACAAAUUCAUUAGUAUAUUAAAAGGAUAAGCCUCUAUGACCAAGUAGGAUUUCUCUUAGCAAUGCAAGGACAAUUCAACAUAUGAAAAUUAGUCAACAUCAAUGGAAUGUACUACAGCAACACAAUAAAGGAAAAAUUAACACAUGAUCAUCUCAUCUGAUGCAGAAAAAAACAUUUAACAGAAUUCAAAACCUUUCGUAAUAAAAACACUCAACAGACUAGGAAUUGGAAGAAGAAAAAAAUCUACCUCAACAUAAUCAAAGCCAUCAUGAAAAAUCAAAAGUGAACAUGACACCAAAUGAUUAAAGAUGGAAAGCUUUUUCUGUAAGGUCAGGAACAAGGAAAGUUUAUGUGCUUUUGCCAUUCUUUUCAACAUAGGAAAUUGUAGCCAGAGCAGUUAGGCAAGAAAGAAAUAAAUGGCAUCCAAUUUGUAAACGAAAAAGUUAAAUCAUCUCAGUUCACAAAUGGUGUGCUCUUACAUAUAAAAACCCUAAAGAUUUCACAAAUUCAGGAAAGUAGAACGAUACAAAGUCAAUACACAAAUGUACAUUAUUUCUGUUCACUAGUAAUGAAUAAUCCCAAAGAAAAUUGAGAAAACAAUUCUACUUAACAAUUGCACCAAAAUAAAAUACUUAGGGAUUAACCAAGAAGGUUAAAUGCUUGUACAAUGAAAGCUACAAAAUACCGAAAUGAAGUACAGACAUAAAUGGAAAAACAUCUUGACUUAAUUUUGUUGACCCCCCAAAAAAACAUUCUACAGAUUUAAUGCAAUUAUUAUAAAAUAUAAGAGAGGACUCCUAAAAUUCAGCAAAAAAACCAAAAAACAAAGAAUUGAAUUCAAAGAUGGCCAAAAUACUUGAAUAGACAUUUCUCCAAAGAUGUAUGUAUAGCCAAUACACAUAUUAAAAGAUAUUCAACAUCACUAAUCAUUAUGGAAAUAUAAAUCAAAACUAUGAUAAUAUACCACCUCACACAUUUAGAUGGCUUAUUUAAACAAAAUGACAAAUAUCACCAAGUAUAUGGAUAAAUUCAACUUUUCUCACUUGAACUUUUCUAAUUUGAACUGUUCUGAUUUGAACUAAAUUAGAACUUUUCUGCACUAUGAUGGGAAUGUAAAAUGGCACAGCCAAUGAGAAGAAUAGAAUGGCAACUCCUCAAUAAAUUAAAAAUAGAAUUACCAUAUUAUCCAGCAAGUACACUUCUGGGUUUGCACCUCAAAGAACUGAAAGCAAGAUAUUGAAGAGGUGUUUGUACACUUAUGUUCAUAGUAACAUUAUUCACAAUAGCCAAAAUGUGAAAGCAACCUAGGUAUAUAUUCACAGAUAACUCCAAAAACAAAAGGUGGUAUAUAGAUAUAAUGGAAAAUUAUUCAGACUUAGGAAAAUCUGACAAAUGCUACAACAUGGGAUCCAAGCUGUAUUUGCGACCUACACCACAGCUCACAGCAACUUCCAGAUCCUUAAUCCACUGAGCAAGGCCAGGGAUCGAACCAAUAUCCUCGUGGAUACUAGUCGGGUUCGUUAACCACUGAACCAUGACAGGAACUCCUCUAUCUAGAUUUUGAAGUCUGAAAAGCAAGUGAGGUCUAUAAGCAUUGGAAAUGUUUGAGUCUCAAGAGUAAUUUUUUUUUUUUUUUCUGGUGAAUUCACUCAUCAAAUAGUGGCUACAUAAAAUCAGUCAUGGCUCUGGAUAAGAUAUAAUAUAGAAUUGCAGUGCUAAAGAACAGAAGAAAUAGAUGAUCAAUACACUUUGAAAUGCUUCCUUUAGAAACACUGAUUUUUUUUAAUCCUAGCCAGAAAAAUAUAUAUGUAUAUAAAUCUGAAUUCCCCAGUUUGGAAAGUUCCACAGUAGCCAGGUUUCCAAAUUUUCAUUUCUUUCUGUUUAGUUCUUUAUUGUACCAGUCAAGUGUUGUCAAAUACCAGGGAUUAACUUUUGGAAAAAAAAAUUAGAAACAAAGGGAAAAUUUUUAAUUUUCCAUCCUUGAUAAUUAAAAUUUUAUAAUUUUAAACUAUAAUAAAUAGUUUAAUGAUAGCUGUACUUUAAAAAAAGGGGGCAGAGACAAAAUUAGUAGCCCCUUGCAUUCUCAGUCUAUGGCUGAAAAUUUUUAGUCAGAAGUCAAAGUCAGAUAUUUGAUCCAACAUUUUUAGAGAUGCUGAAUUCUUUAGAGAAUCCCAAAAGUGUACCAGUUUUACAUUUAUAGGCAUUGAAGAUAUUAGAGUCAUGGGAGUAUGAUCCAUUGUGAGUCUGGAAAUGUAAAUUCAGGAAUCUCUGCUUUCAAAGAUAAUUACUAGAUUCUGAAGACCUGAUAUGAUCUUGUCCAAUGAAGUUCAAGAGCAUUCUUACAUUGUUUCUGAGGUUUUCCUUUGGUAAAGCUGCCUAGUCCUGCUGAUCAUAAAUUGCUAUAUAUUGAUCAUAAAAUAAACCUUUAAAAUAUGAUAGUCAGUUAUUGGACAUGUAAUUGUUAGUCUCACCAGGUAAGAGUUAAGAAAAUGAUGACCUAUGGUUUCUAGUCAGUGAAUUUUUAAUAGUCAAGGAAAUUAAGGAUGACAUUUUAGGUCAUGGCAGUUAAUCCUUCAAAUAAUUUUCCAAGCUUUAUUUGUUCUUUUAUCUUUGACUACUGCUAGAGGAUGAUAAAGACAAUGGAGUUUCUGGAUGAUGAGAGAUACCAUGUACAGCUCUUGUAAAAUAGGCACCUCUAUCUCUGACAAAAAGUUUGGUAAUGCACCAAGUUGAAAAUACAAAGUCUAGGAGGCUGGUCGUUGCUUGUUUUUGUUUUGUUUUGUUUUCUUUUUUUUGGUUUGCUAGUUGUUAGUGUAGUUGCCAUUUGGCAAAUAAAAUCUAUGGCCAUCUAUAAAAUACAUGAGUAGAAAUAUAUUCAUUUGAAGGAGACAAUUGCAAAACUCCAUUUGUAAAUUUCAAAAUAAACCUUGAGGAUUUAGUUCUUGCUCAUUCUUGUCUUUUGCAGGUUGUACCUGAAUCAUACUAAGCAGUUUUGAGUAAAAUUUUCCUGGCUCUAUGAUUAUGAUAUGCCAACCAAUUUAUCUUUGCUGCAGUGGUCAAACUGAAUAGUUAUGUUAAUAAACUACAUUAUUAAGUAUUUUAAUAAAUUCUUAUAAUUAAGUUUACUCUGGGAGUGAGAAUAUUAUAAAUUGUAUAGACAUAGACAAGCCCCUAUAGAAUUUGAUUUACAUUAAAAAUCAAACCUAUCACCAUGAUUGUACCUAUAGUCAUGUAUACUGAAUUUUAGACAAAAAAAUCAUUUUGAUAUAGUUAUUAUGCAUGUCUUUAUGCUUAUAAAUGAGUCUAUUUUAAUCUGAGGACUUCAUCAUAUUUUGGAGGGGGAACACAAUUCAACCCAUAAGAGUCUGCUCUAUACCUUUCCCAAAAGUUAUGUCUUUCCCAUGUGCAAAAUACAUUUACUCCAUUAUGACAUCCUCAAAAGUUUUAACCCAUUUCAAUUUAACUCAAUAUACAAAAAUUUCAUCUAAAUAUAAUCAACUCAAACUCAUCUAAAUCAGAUAUGGGUGAGACACUGGGUAUGGUCCAUCUGGAUACAAAAUUUCUUGUCAUUUAUGAACUUGUGAUAUUAGAAAACAAGUUAUAUGCUUAUAAAAUACAACAUUGGCAUACUCAUUGGAUAGAUAUUUUCAUUCCAAAAGAUAGAAAUAAGAAGAAAAGGAUACUCAGAUUCCAAGCAAGUCUUAAAACCAGCAGGACUCAUUGCAAGGCUUGGGAAGAAUCCUACGUGGCUCAGUUCUCUGUCCUAUAGGCUCUUGGCCCACGAUGGUGUCAGUCUUACCCUCUUUGCCCCAGGAAGUACUAUCAGCACUGCCUCCUUCAUCAGUGGUCUGCCCUCAGGGUUUUUGUUUGUUUGUUUGUUUGUUUUGUCUUUUUAGGGCUGCACCUGCCCUGGAAGUUCCUAGGCUAGGGGUCGAAUUGGAGCUAUAGCUGCUGGCUUGUGGGCUUGCGCAGUAGCCACAGCAACACCAGAUCCUUAAUCGACUGAGCAAGGCCAGAGAAUGAACCUGCAUUCUGAUGGAUACUAGUUAGAUUCGUCAUCACUAAGCCACACGAGAACUCCCCUCAAAAUCAUUCUUUAUUCUUUUCAUCCCAUCCUGUGCUUAUCAGGCCAGUCUGGCAGUAUUCUUCUGGCACAGUUCUCAAUUACCUUGUCAGUCUCCUGUGCAAUUCUUAAGAGUUCAGAUCAUCAAACAGGAAAGUUCUUCAUAUAUCUUUCUGAUUAAUGACAUCUAUAUUCCUUAAUCCUCUGUGAGAGCUGAUUUGAUCCACAAGUCAUAUAAUCUGUCUCAUUAGCAAUGAUUGUCCAGCCACAUUCUUAGGCCUAUGUCCAGAGCAUCCUAUCUGGACAGGAUGUGAAUUUUCCAACUAUCAAGUGCUUGCUUCUUUUUUUAUGAGUAGCAAUUCAUUUCUCAACUUGUUUCUUAUCUCUUGCAAUUUUACCGUAAACAGCAAGGAGAAUCCAGGUGGUACAGAACACAAUUUUCAGGCAAGCAUCCUUGGCUAAAUAUCCAAGAUCAUCAACUAUAAGUUUUACUUUCCACAAAAUAAUGGAGCAUAAUUCAGCCAAGUUCUUUGCCACUUGGUUCUAAGAAUCACCUUUCCUCCAGUUUCCAAAAACAUAGUCCUUAUUUCCAUCUGAGACAUCACAGAAGUACCCUUACUGUCCAUAUCUCUAGUAGCACUCCAUUCGUGACAAUGUAUGUGCUUGUCUAAUAAAUGGAAACUUUGUAUGCAUUGCUCCUUACUUCUUUCUGAUUCCUCCUCAGAAUUUUCUUUGAUGGCCACAUUUCUAUCAACAAUUUCUUCAAGGAAAUCUGGCUCUUACUAUUAAAACCUGAACAACUACAUACAAUUAAUUUAUAUAAAUUUCAAAUACAGAGAAAACCAAAAUAUGUAUUAAUCUGUUAGAAAUAGUUGAUGGCGUUCCCAUCCCAUCGUGGCACAGUGGGAACAAAUCCGACUAGGAACCACGACGUUGCGGGUUUGAUCCCUGGCCUUGUUCAGUGAGUUAAGUAUCUGACCUUGCUUUGAGCUGUAGUGUAGGUCGCAGACAUGGCUCGGAUCCCGAGUUGCUGUGGCUCUGUGUAGGCCGGCAGCUACAUCUCCUAUUAGACUUCUUGCCUGGGAACCUCCAUAUGCUGCAGGUGCAGCC
rnacentral:lncRNA from 1 species